GUGUGUAUGGUGUAAAAAACACGCCAGCUUUUCGUGCUCGAAAUAUAUCUCCAUAUUACACACA
rnacentral:tRNA from 1 species